rnacentral:rRNA from 1 species
AACGAACGCUGGCGGCAUGCCUAACACAUGCAAGUCGAACGAAGCCUUCGGGCUUAGUGGCGCACGGGUGCGUAACGCGUGGGAAUCUGCCCUUGGGUUCGGAAUAACAGUUAGAAAUGACUGCUAAUACCGGAUGAUGUCUUCGGACCAAAGAUUUAUCGCCCAAGGAUGAGCCCGCGUAGGAUUAGGUAGUUGGUGGGGUAAUGGCCCACCAAGCCGACGAUCCUUAACUGGUCUGAGAGGAUGAUCAGCCACACUGGGACUGAGACACGGCCCAGACUCCUACGGGGGGCAGCAGUGGGGAAUAUUGGACAAUGGGCGAAAGCCUGAUCCAGCAAUGCCGCGUGAGUGAUGAAGGCCUUAGGGUUGUAAAGCUCUUUUACCAGGGAUGAUAAUGACAGUACCUGGAGAAUAAGCUCCGGCUAACUCCGUGCCAGCAGCCGCCGUAA